GCUCCCCGGCUUGUUUUGGUGGAGGCAUUAGAAAGCGUGAUGGUUUCAUCACAGCCAGAGAUGUCACGUCACCUCCCUAGCUGUAGACUGCUUCUCAGCACCUACUGCUGGCCUAUGCUGAUGCGUCUGCACUGAGAAGGCCUUGUCUCCUCUCUGAGGUCCUUCCCUUCUACAGGGGCUCUGUCUCUACAGCUUUUUGAUAAUCCUGAAGAGAGGAAGAUCCCUGCAAGGGGAAAAUAAGUAGAGAAGAAAAUGAGUUUAUUAAGGACUGAAUCAUGCAGCUCCAGAAUUCUUGGAACUUCUUGUCUGUUGUACAGAUCUAAAGAGGAACGUGGUUGCAAAAAGGAAAGCCUUCAGCUGCAGACCUGGGUUGGAAUUUGGGUUUAGCCAUUAGCUGUUUAACCUUGGGCAAUAAUAAUGAUUAAACUAAUAGCCACUGUUUAUUACUUAUUCUGUGCCUGGCUCUUUGUGUACAUCUUAACUAGCUCUCUUAGCCCUGGAGAGAGCUGUACCUUGUUCAGUAUCACAUAGCUGGUUAAUGGAGAAACCAGAAUUCCCACUGAGAUGUGAUUGCCACCUAAAUUCCUGAUCUCUUUUCUGUAUCAAGAUUCCUUAAGUUCUGUGCCCUAUAAUAUCUACAUAUAUAAGACGGAGACAUAUUAAUACUCCUAGAGAUGCUGGGAAGGAGAGAGAGGUUAUGUUGAGUUCAUGAUGUCUGGGAGGCCCACAGAAAUCCAGGAGGUUUUGAUCAGAGCCACAGUGAUUUGCGUAACCCCUGGCAUUUUUGUCUUCAUUGACUCUUUCCUCCUUAAGAAAAAUAUUGAAAGUUCUAUCCUAACACUGUGCUGGUAUAAAAGCAGAUAUAAUUAAGGGUGGGUUUUAUUACUGUUUUCUUUUACUAUAAUAAAUGUGAACACUGUGUAGGCCCUAGGCAUUGGGCGUACAGUGCCCAGUUAUAGAAGUCAACCUGUGUCAUCACAGGCUGACCAUCAGCUUCAGAGCCCUGUUUUUUUCCUUUUGUGAAUCAUGUUCCUGUUAUGGCCUGUCACUGAAAUAACAAAUUCUGCUCAGCAGGCAUUUAUGGGUGUGAGGGUGUAUUUUUGGGGAGAACAGGAAUCUGUCAUCAUUGGUAUUAGCUGGACAGAUAUUCUCAACAAUGGGUACUCACAGAGGAUGACUCUUGACUGAUUAGUUUACACUGUUUAUCAUUUAUGUUUUCUUACAUAUUUGACAUAUCUUACAACUUUAAAGCACUCCUCUUCAUAUCAAAAGCUAUUUGUAGUAAGGCCUAGAAGAGUUUCUUACUGUUGUUUUCUCUGCCGAUUAGAACUGGCAGCUGGUUUUGGCCCCAUGUGGUCCCCCUACCCCAGUCCUCUCCGGGUUGGAAGCUGGUUUUCAGGACAGCUUCUCCUUGCCUCGUACUCCUCAAAUCCACAACUGACUACAGCCGGCAUUUCUCGACUUUCAGAACGAAACUCAUGGGUUACUUCAGACUUCAUGGAUUUGGGCCCAGGCCACACGCCUAACCAGUUUGAUUGACUCAUUACUAGUUUAAUGACUUGGUGCUGGGCUGGCUUGGAUCACAAACUUCUCCAGGAAAGCCCUACUUGCAUCGUCUCAACACCUCAGCAUUUAAUAAAUUCUUAUUGAUUGAAUAAUAAAUGAGUGGCUGGCAAAGAACCAGCGGGUUAUGUCAGAGGUGCCAACAUGAUUAUGUUUAGACCCCAAUCCAUU